rnacentral:rRNA from 1 species
AGAGUUUGAUCAUGGCUCAGAUUGAACGCUGGCGGCAUGCCUUACACAUGCAAGUCGAACGGCAGCAUGAUCUAGCUUGCUAGAUUGAUGGCGAGUGGCGAACGGGUGAGUAAUACAUCGGAACGUGCCCUGUAGUGGGGGAUAACUAGUCGAAAGAUUAGCUAAUACCGCAUACGACCUGAGGGUGAAAGUGGGGGACCGCAAGGCCUCAUGCUAUAGGAGCGGCCGAUGUCUGAUUAGCUAGUUGGUGGGGUAAAGGCCCACCAAGGCGACGAUCAGUAGCUGGUCUGAGAGGACGAUCAGCCACACUGGGACUGAGACACGGCCCAGACUCCUACGGGAGGCAGCAGUGGGGAAUUUUGGACAAUGGGGGCAACCCUGAUCCAGCAAUGCCGCGUGUGUGAAGAAGGCCUUCGGGUUGUAAAGCACUUUUGUCCGGAAAGAAAUCGCACUUACUAAUAUUAGGUGUGGAUGACGGUACCGGAAGAAUAAGGACCGGCUAACUACGUGCCAGCAGCCGCGGUAAUACGUAGGGUCCAAGCGUUAAUCGGAAUUACUGGGCGUAAAGCGUGCGCAGGCGGUUGUGCAAGACCGAUGUGAAAUCCCCGGGCUUAACCUGGGAAUUGCAUUGGUGACUGCACGGCUAGAGUGUGUCAGAGGGGGGUAGAAUUCCACGUGUAGCAGUGAAAUGCGUAGAGAUGUGGAGGAAUACCGAUGGCGAAGGCAGCCCCCUGGGAUAACACUGACGCUCAUGCACGAAAGCGUGGGGAGCAAACAGGAUUAGAUACCCUGGUAGUCCACGCCCUAAACGAUGUCAACUAGUUGUUGGGGAUUCAUUUCCUUAGUAACGUAGCUAACGCGUGAAGUUGACCGCCUGGGGAGUACGGUCGCAAGAUUAAAACUCAAAGGAAUUGACGGGGACCCGCACAAGCGGUGGAUGAUGUGGAUUAAUUCGAUGCAACGCGAAAAACCUUACCUACCCUUGACAUGCCACUAACGAAGCAGAGAUGCAUUAGGUGCUCGAAAGAGAAAGUGGACACAGGUGCUGCAUGGCUGUCGUCAGCUCGUGUCGUGAGAUGUUGGGUUAAGUCCCGCAACGAGCGCAACCCUUGUCUCUAGUUGCUACGAAAGGGCACUCUAGAGAGACUGCCGGUGACAAACCGGAGGAAGGUGGGGAUGACGUCAAGUCCUCAUGGCCCUUAUGGGUAGGGCUUCACACGUCAUACAAUGGUGCAUACAGAGGGUUGCCAAGCCGCGAGGUGGAGCUAAUCCCAGAAAAUGCAUCGUAGUCCGGAUCGUAGUCUGCAACUCGACUACGUGAAGCUGGAAUCGCUAGUAAUCGCGGAUCAGCAUGCCGCGGUGAAU